CAGUAGCCACGGGAAUACGGAGGGGGCUAGCGUUGUUCGGAAUUACUGGGCGUAAAGCGCACGUAGGCGGCUUGGUAAGUUAGAGGUGAAAGCCUGGAGCUCAGCUCCAGAAUUGCCUUUAAGACUGCCGAGCUAGCAGGUGAGAGAGGUAAGUGGAAUUCCGAGUGUAGAGGUGAAAUUCGUAGGUAUUCGGAAGAACACCAGUGGCGAAGGCGGCUUACUGGCUCAUACUGGACGCUGAGGUGCGAAGCGUGGGGAGCAAACAGGAUUAGAUACCCCAGAGUCCCUGUCUCUUAUACAC
rnacentral:rRNA from 1 species